GAUGAACGCUGGCGGCGUGCUUAACACAUGCAAGUCGAACGAUGAAGCCCAGCUUGCUGGGUGGAUUAGUGGCGAACGGGUGAGUAACACGUGAGUAACCUGCCCUUAACUCUGGGAUAAGCCUGGGAAACUGGGUCUAAUACCGGAUAGGAGCGUCCACCGCAUGGUGGGUGUUGGAAAGAUUUAUCGGUUUUGGAUGGACUCGCGGCCUAUCAGCUUGUUGGUGAGGUAAUGGCUCACCAAGGCGACGACGGGUAGCCGGCCAGAGAGGGGGACCGGCCCCCACGGGGCCUAAGCGAGGCCCCAGCACCCUACGGGGGGCAGCGGGGGGAAAUUUUGACCAGGGGGGGCAGGCGUGAGGGGGCGGCCCCGGGGGAGGAAUGCCGGCUUUGGGUUUGAAAACCUCUUCCGGUGGGAAAGAAGCAAAUGUGACGGUACCUGAAAAGAAAGCCCCGGCUAACUCCGUG
rnacentral:rRNA from 1 species